GAAUGAACAAAAAUUCUUUCCAAAGGAUUAUCUGCAAAUGAUCCAAAAAUGUCUUUAUUACGAAAAACGAGUUUGAAUCCAAUCUUAUCUGCGACUUUUGUUACCUUUCUUCAAUGUUAAGAGCAACUUUUUGUGAGAGCAACUGGCUGAGGCUUAGAUAAGGGUUUUGUUUUU